rnacentral:rRNA from 1 species
CCUACGGGAGGCAGCAGUAGGGAAUUUUCGGCAAUGGGGGGAACCCUGACCGAGCAACGUCGCGUGAAGGAAGAAGGAAUUAGUUCUGUAAACUUCUGUUAUAAAGGAAGAAAGACGGAUGGAGGAAAUGACAUCCGAGUGACGGUACUUAAUGAGAAAGCCACGGCUAACUACGUGCCAGCAGCCGCGGUAAUACGUAGGUGGCAAGCGUUAUCCGGAAUUAGUGGGCGGAAAGAGGGAGCAGGCGGCAGCAAAGGUCUGUGGUGAAAGAGUGAAGCUUAACUUCAGUAAGCCAUAGAAACCGGGCAGCUAGAGUGCAGGAGAGGUACGUGGAAUGCGAGGUGUAGCGGUGAAAUGCGUAGAUAUAAGGAGGAACACCAGUGGCGAAGGCGGCGAUCUGGCCUGCAACUGACGCUCAGGCCCGAAAGCGUGGGUAGCGAACAGGAUUAGAUACCCGAGUAGUC